AUACGUAGGGUGCGAGCGUUGUCCGGAAUUACUGGGCGUAAAGAGCUCGUAGGUGGUUUGUCGCGUCGUCUGUGAAAUUCCGGGGCUUAACUCCGGGCGUGCAGGCGAUACGGGCAUAACUUGAGUACUGUAGGGGAGACUGGAAUUCCUGGUGUAGCGGUGAAAUGCGCAGAUAUCAGGAGGAACACCGGUGGCGAAGGCGGGUCUCUGGGCAGUAACUGACGCUGAGGAGCGAAAGCAUGGGGAGCGAACAGGAUUAGAUACCCUGGUAGUCCAUGCCGUAAACGGUGGGCGCUAGGUGUAGGGGUCUUCCACGACUUCUGUACCGUAGCUAACGCAUUAAGCGCCCCGCCUGGGGAGUACGGCCGCAAGGCUAAAACUCAAAUGAAUUGACGGGG
rnacentral:rRNA from 1 species